CAGCCAGGCCUUCCCUUCCCGCUGCUUGGCAGGGCGGGCCUGGCCCUGCGCCAGCUGCAGCACGUGGAGCUGUCGCGCCAAUCCUCUGACAGAGAGCCCAGCCUGUUAUCUAACUUUGGAAAGGGAAGUUCUCCCCCAGGCUGGGAGCCAUAACUGGGGCUGCCAGGUGAGAAUGGUAAGCUCCACGCCCACAGCAAGCACGCAUCAGCAUGGAGGUGCCCUGGAGGCCCAGGCACGCAGUGGAAACCAUCCCGGGCUGGGACCUGAGGCUCCAAGAGAAAAGGAGGAUGACAGCAGGACGCUGGCCCCUGUGGUCCUUGGGUUACUUGAAUGGGUGAAGCAAAGGUUCUGGAUGUCACCCUCUACGUCAGACCAACAUC
rnacentral:lncRNA from 1 species